GGGUGCUCGGGGCUCCCCGAGGCCAGACGGGGCUGAUCUGCAGGCCAACACCUGUGCAGCUUCUCAGGAAGCCACAGAGGUGGCGAAUCGCAAGGGGCUCCACCCGGCCUGGCCGCCUGGUGGGGCGGGUAAGUUCGGGACUGACCGCGCGUGGGGGGGCAGGUCGGAGUGAUAGUUUUAAUUUCUGUGCGUGCGCGCGUGCGUGCACGUGGUGCGCGCCCCCAGGAUGGCGGGGACAGAAAGGGGGCUCCCUGAGAGUCAGGAGAACAGAGACCGAGCAGUGUGAGGGGGCCGGGGAGGGAAGAGGAAAACGCCAGGCAAGUUAUGUGAGCGCCCCGGUAGGGGAAGCGCUCGUCCCCCACCCCAUCGAUUCAGCACCGGGGCUCCGGACAGCGCCGCGCGGUCCGGCUCAGCACCGGGCUGCGGACAGCUCCUGGCCACGGCCUGGCCUUUCCCCGCUGAUUUCUAGGUGAGGGGUUACACUGAGCUGCCUGGAGCUCCUGCGAUGCACCCCCUCGAUUAAGGGGUUCGCAGAGUGAAUUAUUUUCCAGAGGAGGAAGCGACGGCGUGAAGCCUGCGAGUCCUUGACAGGGGCACCGGGAACAGCAGGCCACGCAGAAGCAGGAAAUGCGCGCCUCCAGCUCCACCCAGGGGCAACUGAGUCCCAGCACCGAGCGUGUGAUUUACAAUCCCGCAGACCUGGGCCAUCGAGGCCCUGGAGUGGACUCCUGCCAUGCUCGUGUGUCUGGUCCCUGUGGCUCUGUGGGCUCCCUGCUGUGUCCCCAGUGCCCCUUCCAAGGCCGGGCACCCAGCAGGUGCUCAGUACCUGCUUGUGGAAUCCACAAAGGCAUCAGAGACUACACCGAUAAGUCAGUCGAUGCACCACACGCGUUCAGCCCUCUCGGGGCCUCCCCACAGAGAUACCAUGGGGCGACAUCGGUGCCAGGUGUUUAUCGAGGGACUAUAAUUAAAUUUAUGGGCUCUCAAGGGCCGGCCAGCCAGCUAAUAGCCCCGUGGGAGAGCCCGGCUCGUUUAAUUAGCAAUUACGAGGCAUUGAUUCUUCAUUAGCUCGGGCAAGCGGUGUCUCCCUCCUCAGCCGCCGGCAAAUGAAACCGGGCUGUCUCGGGAGCGUUUCCCUGGUGGAGAAAACGGAAUUAGGGAACCCCAAAGUGCCACAGGCACCCGAUGGGGUAAAGUCAGCACAGGGGAUUCGCAGUCUGGGUGAAGUCUAAUUGCAGGGGAGAUUCCAGUGAGUUUAGAAUCAUCCUCUGAGAACAGGAAAGAGAAAGGAAUCCAUAUACUGUCUUGUGGUGGUGCACACCUGUGAUCCCAGCACUCGGGAGGCUGAGGCAAGAAGAUCGCUGCGAGUUCGAGACCAGCCUGGGCUACAGAGUGAGCUCAAGGCCAGCCUGAGCUACACAGUGAGACCCUGACUCAAAAAGACGAGAGAGAGAGAGAGAGAGAGAGAGAGAGAGAGAGAGAGAGAGAGAGAGAGUCAGCCAGCCCUGGGUGUCCACUGGCCACCCCCAAAUGAGCCACUUUGAACACAGCACCCCAUCCAUGCAACCUGCAGGUCUCCUCGCCUGCCAUGUGGCCCGCACCCUCAGCCCGAGGCAAGUCACUGCCUCCACCAUCUGCUCCUCUUCAGCCUGCUGUCAGCAGGUCGAGGGUCUCAACCCCGGUCCACAUGCACACCCACCAUUGCAGGGCUGUGUGUGUGUGUGUGUGUGUGUGUGUGUGUGUGUGUGUGUGUGUCGGGACUGACCAGGGCCUCCACACUGAGCUCCAUCACCACCCAUUUCUCCUUUGGAGACGAGGUCUUGCCGAGUCAUUGGCCCUGGCUGAGCUCAAAUUUGCAACCCUCCUGCCUCAGCCUCCUAGAACGUUGUGGUGCCUGCACCCAGCUCAGUGAUGGCUUUCACCCUCCAUGUCUAGCUCGGGGGCGGCACCCAGUAACUAUUCACUGAGGGUGUCACGAGAUAAGGCCAGCCACCCACCACCCCGUCCUGGCCACCCCGUCCUGGCCAGCCCUGAGAAUCCACCCGCAGCUGCUCGGGCUGCUGACCCCGCCGAGGCAAAUGAGAUGCCCCUGCCUCCGGCCUUCGCGCUGACAGAUGGCUGGUGAUGCUUCCUCUCCUCCUGGGGUCUUGUUGAAAAGACUCCUGCGGGCCUGGAACCCCAUUCUGACCCACGGCAGAUCCCGAGGGUCAAGGGCAUAGUUACCAGGGCACUGCCUUCGCCUCAGACACAGCCACCACGUGCUCCUGGCUCCCCAGUCACGCGCACUCUGGCCACUUUUCCCCAAACUUGGGUGUCCUACGGCCUCCUCAGGUUGAAUACUUAAGUAGCAACGGACUCACAGGACUUAGCUGUCACCGUACUCCAAAUGACAGCUUCAUACCUGGGCACAGGGAUGCACACCUCUAAUCCUGGCACUGAGGGAAGCUGAGGCAGGAGAAUCUCAAGUUCAAGUCCCACCUAAACAAUUUAGUGAGACCCUGCAUCAACAUAAAAGGAAAUAAAAAUAAAAUGGGCUAUUCAGCCGGGUGUGGGAAAGCACACCUGUCAUCCCAGCACUCGGGAGGCUGAGGCAGGAGGAUCACUGCAAGUUCAAGUCCAGCCUGGGCUUCAAAGUGAGCUCAAGGCCAGCCUGGACUGCACAGCCAGACCCGGUCUCAGAAAGACAUAAAUAAAAUAAAAUAAAAUAGGUUAGGGAUGUAGCUCAGUGGUAGAGUAUGCUGGGUUUGAACCUCAGUAACCAGGUGGGGUGAGGAUGGAGAGAGAGAAGAGUUACAGCUUCAUCAAGAAGGGCAAAACUCAAAUCCAACCAAGAAGGAAUGCGAAAGAUAAAGAUGGGAGGGUGGCAAAGACAGACCCCGCGUUCUCCCCCGAUGGAGCUGAGUUCACGUGUCAGCGUGUUUGGUGCUACUGUAACACAGCGCCUGAGGCUGGAUGAUUUCUAAAGAAAAGAGGUUUGAGGACCGCAGUGUGGGGAACCGGGCUGAGCCCACCCCUGGUGACAGCCUCCUUGGCGGGGCACUCGGGUGGCACAGGGCAUCCUGGGGAAGGACAGGGGAGUCACACGGGCGCCCGUGUGUCCUCUGACCUCCGUCCCUCCUCUGACAAAGCCACCCCACCCUGCGAGCUCAUCUGACGUCCGUCUCCCCAGACAGCAGGCUCAGGGCUUGGGGUGGCACCACGAGGGCAGGCACAGGCCCCCGCCUCCGGGUCCCUGUCCUCCAUUUCUGGGGCGCGUAGCUUAGGAAAUGUUGCUGUGCUCAGCUGAAAACCGGGGGCUGUGAUGCGCAGAGGGGGAGGACAGCUGCGGGGACAGGUCCUAUCUCUGCUGCAGAAGCUACACAUCCAGGAAUAUGUCCUCCUGGACGCCUGUAUCCGCCCCAGAGCUCCCAGAGGCCGAUUUCCUGGCUCUAACAGCCAGAAGCAAGACUCGAGGUUACACAGCAGGAAAACUCAAAUGAUGACAAGGCAGAGGGCACAGCAAAGUAGCGAUGUCACUGCUACGGUUUGGAGCUGAACAUUCCACCAAGUCCCGUGUGUUAAAAAAUAGUCUCUAGCUUGGCCCUGCUGAGAGGUCGUGGGACCUUUAAAAGGCGGGGCUUAGGUCACUGAGGGUGUGGCCUGGGGCGUGGCCAUUGAGGUCUGGAUUGACACCAAUCCACUGUUCUGCAGUGAAGCCAAGGCCCUGUGGCCAGAGAUCGUGAACUGAAGUCCCCUAAGCCGUGAACCAGGACUGCGGAGUCCUGAGACGUGCGCAGGCAUGGGGCUCAGGCAGCAGCGUCACAAGUUCAAAGCCAGCCUGAGGAAUUUAGCAAGACCCUGUCUCAAAAUAAAAUUUUCAUAAAAACA